rnacentral:tRNA from 1 species
GGGGAAGUAGCUCAAUUGGUAGAGCAAAUGUUAAAAAAAUGUUUUUAGUAUUAAAAAUGUAGCAAUUAAAUGAGGAAAUCAUUGUGUCAUUGGUUCGAUUCCAAUCUUCCCCA